rnacentral:rRNA from 1 species
UACGUAGGGGGCGAGCGUUGUCCGGAAUUACUGGGCGUAAAGCGUGCGUAGGUGGUUCGUUAAGUCUGAUGUGAAAGCCCUGGGCUCAACCUGGGAAUGGCAUUGGAUACUGGCGACCUAGAGUGCGGUAGAGGGGUGUGGAAUUCCCGGUGUAGCAGUGAAAUGCGUAGAUAUCGGGAGGAACAUCUGUGGCGAAGGCGACACCCUGGACCAGCACUGACACUGAGGCACGAAAGCGUGGGGAGCAAACAGG